GUUCAGGGCUAUGUUUCCGUUACAAUGGUUCACCCUGCAGGUGUACAUCUGCCCAGGUAGCCAUUCGUGGGGGGAAAGAGGGAGUCGGCUUUGGAUGCUGAACUUCCCCUUUGGACCUCUGUGAGGUUCACUAGUAUUGUAACUCCUGAGCUGUGUGGUGCCGUCGAGUAGCCAGGUGAUGUUGAUGGACGCAGGGCUGAAUCCGUAAGCCAGGCACACCAGCUCAUUUGGACCCUGCAGAA